rnacentral:rRNA from 1 species
GAUGAACGCUGGCGGCGUGCCUAAUACAUGCAAGUCGAGCGAACAGAUGAGGAGCUUGCUCCUCUGACGUUAGCGGCGGACGGGUGAGUAACACGUGGAUAACCUACCUAUAAGACUGGGAUAACUUCGGGAAACCGGAGCUAAUACCGGAUAAUAUAUUGAACCGCAUGGUUCAAUAGUGAAAGACGGUUUUGCUGUCACUUAUAGAUGGAUCCGCGCCGCAUUAGCUAGUUGGUAAGGUAACGGCUUACCAAGGCAACGAUGCGUAGCCGACCUGAGAGGGGGAUCGGCCACACUGGAACUGGGACACGGACCAGACUCCUACGGGAGGCAGCAGUAGGGAAUCUUCCGCAAUGGGCGAAAGCCUGACGGAGCAACGCCGCGUGAGUGAUGAAGGUCUUCGGAUCGUAAAACUCUGUUAUUAGGGAAGAACAAAUGUGUAAGUAACUAUGCACGUCUUGACGGUACCUAAUCAGAAAGCCACGGCUAACUACGUG